UCUGCCCUAAGCCCGGCCUUUGGUAGGCUAGGCCUUAUGCCCCUGACUAGUCGCCUCACAUAUCUAGCUACAAUACAAUUGGCAAUUACAUUCUCUUUCCCAAUUACCCUCUCAAGUGUUACAAGCUUUCACCUCUGUUCCUAUUUCUGGGUUUCCCGAAUGCCAGAACGUUUACAAGAGGGUGUGUGGGAAUAUGAUUCGCAUGCAGGGUGAAGCUGUUGAGUCCUCUGUUUGAGGAAUUGGAAGAUAGUGAUGAGUCCCUCAGCGAGCCAUGAACAGCUUCGAGCCUUUGAAUCUCUCAGGGUUGCUUUGGAGUCUGUGAACCAAGGGAGUCAGCUAUAUCAGGCAGGUAGACAUUGCUAACAGCACCAAAAUGAUCUCCUCGAGGAUUUGGCAAACUUAACUCAAUGGCUAGUGGCCUCAAAGUUCCAUCAUCCUUCAAGAAAAGGAUGGUUCUCGUAGCGUACGCCUUUGAGCUUGUGGAGUUUAUUUUCCUUAAAUAUGGCAUUAUUGCAUCAUGGUCAUCCAGUAGGAACAAUUUCUUUUUCUCAAUAGCCUGCUUAGCCAAAUUUUAAUUAGUCUAUAUAUAAAAUUGAGUUCUGCAAAAAAAAAAAUACCCAAUUUUGAGUUCA